rnacentral:rRNA from 1 species
AGAGUUUGAUCAUGGUAGGAAGAACGCUGGCGGCGUGCUUAACACAUGCAAGUCGAACGAGGUCCAACCUUCGGGUGAAGACCGAGUGGCGAACGGGUGAGUAACACGUGGGGAACCUGCCCUUCUCUCUGGGAUAACGUCGGGAAAUCGGCGCUAAUACCGGAUACUCCUUGCGGACCGCAUGGUCUGCUCGGGAAAGCUCCGGCGGAGAAGGAUGGCCCCGCGGCCCAUUAGCUAGUUGGUGGGGUAACGGCCCACCAAGGCGACGAUGGGUAGCCGAGCUGAGAGGCUGAUCGGCCACACUGGGACUGAGACACGGCCCAGACUCCUACGGGAGGCAGCAGUGGGGAAUCUUGCGCAAUGGGCGAAAGCCUGACGCAGCAACGCCGCGUGCGGGAUGAAGGCUCUCGGGUCGUAAACCGCUUUCAGCAGGGAUGAAAUUGACAGUACCUGCAGAAGAAGCCCCGGCUAAAUACGUG